CACCUCCAGCAUCCCUAGUAUUGGAGGCACUGCCUGCCCAGUGACUAAACGUUAAACGGCCGCGGUAUUCUGACCAUGCAAAGGUAGCAUAAUCAUUUGUUCUCUAAAUAAGGACUUGUAUGAAUGGCCACACGAGGGUUUUACUGUCUCUUACUUCCAAUCAGUGAAAUUGACCUCCCCGUGAAGAGGCGGGGAUAAAUCAACAAGACGAGAAGACCCUAUGGAGCUUUAACUAAGUAACUCAAGGAAAAUAAAUUCAACCACCAAGGGAUAACAACACUCCUUAUGAGUUAACAGUUUCGGUUGGGGUGACCUCGGAGAACAGAAAAUCCUCCGAGCGAUUUUAAAGACUAGACUAACAAGUCAAACCAAACCAUCGCUUAUUGAUCCAAAAACUUGAUCAACGGAACAAGUUACCCUAGGGAUAACAGCGCAAUCCUAUUCAAGAGUCCAUAUCGACAAUAGGGUUUACGACCUCGAUGUUGGAUCAGGACAUCCCGAUGGUGCAACCGCUAUCAAAGGUCCGUUUGUUCAACGAUUAAAGUCCU
rnacentral:rRNA from 1 species